rnacentral:rRNA from 1 species
AACGAACGCUGGCGGCAGGCUUAACACAUGCAAGUCGAACGGGUGUAGCAAUACAUCAGUGGCCGACGGGUGAGUAACACGUGGGAACCUUCCUAGGGGUACGGAACAACUCAGGGAAACUUGAGCUAAUACCGUAUACGUCCGUGAGGAGAAAGAUUUAUCGCCCUUAGACGGUGCCGCGUCGGAUUAGCUAAUUGGUGGGGUAACGGCCUACCAAGGCGACGAUCCGUAGCUGAUCUUAGAGGAUGAUCAGCCACACUGGGACUGAGACACGGCCCAGACUCCUACGGGAGGCAGCAGUGGGGAAUCUUGGACAAUGGGCGCAAGCCUGAUCCAGCCAUGCCGCGUGAGUGAAGAAGGUCUUCGGAUUGUAAAGCUCUUUUGCCAGGGACGAUAAUGACGGUACCUGGAGAAUAAGCCCCGGCAAACUUCGUGCCCGCCGCCGCCGUAA